UCUGCCGGGAGAUUCAAAAAUCAACCUUCGACAUUUGACAAACUCUUUUAGGUUACAUACGCGAAUUAGGCAUUCCAAACCACGUGGUCAAAAUUGACAGCUGUGGUCUGUUGAGGUUAAUUGUUUGAUUUACUUUUAGCUGAAUUUAGCCGGAUUUAGUGUUUUUUUAGUGAUAACAAACUUUUUAAGAUGCAUAGUGAAUAUUUAAAGACAUUAUUGUUGGAAAGUCCUGAUGUCGGAGAAAGAUAUAAAACAAAGUUGGGACUAAUAAACAAUGUGGAUCCUUUCACCUUGAACCCACAUGACUUGAAUAAUUCGAUUCAUGGUGUUCCCCCGGCAACAAAUAUGGACAUUGUUUCGUAUUUAGUUUUGACGCAUAGUUAUUAUACCAAGGAGCAAAUGAAGUGCUAUAAAAGCUUUAAAGUAUUUGGAGUCUGGGCUUAUUGUAGACGUAGGAACAAAAGAAAUUAAUGGUUUCUUUGUUUUGGUUGGAAAGGUGAAACAUUCUCUGAGACCAAAAGCAAAGCCUUUGGAAGUUUGGUGUAUUAUUACCAAAGAUGGAACCAUAUCGACUGCCCAUUGCACUUGUAUGGCUGGAAGUGGUGAAGUCUGCAGUCAUGUAGGAGCUCUGUUAUUUGCUGCUGAAUAUGCGAAUAGACGAAGAGAAGAAACAUCUUGCACUGAUGUUUUAAAUGCUUGGAUGAUGCCUACGGGGCCUAGCAACAUAUCUCUACUUCCAGUGAGGGAUAUGAACUGGGCUAAGCCCUAUGUUGCUUCUAAACAUUAUAUGACCACCCAAACUCCAAAUUUGCGAGAUAUUUU
rnacentral:lncRNA from 1 species